rnacentral:rRNA from 1 species
UACAGAGGUCUCGAGCGUUGUUCGGAUUCAUUGGGCGUAAAGGGUGCGUAGGUGGCGUGGUAAGUCUGGUGUGAAAUCCCGGGGCUCAACCCCGGAACUGCACUGGAUACUGCCAUGCUUGAGUACUGGAGAGGAGAUUGGAAUUACGGUGUAGCAGUGAAAUGCGUAGAUAUCGUAAGGAAGACCAGUGGCGAAGGCGAAUCUCUGGACAGUUACUGACACUGAGGCACGAAGCCAGGGGAGCGAAACGGG